UUUUUUUAAACAUCAGGUUUCGGGCGUUACCAACCCGAAAAUAAAUUGCGUGGGGCCGGCCCGAAAACUCAAAUCGAUUUUUUCAAACGUCAAGGCAGUGGGGUGAGCCGGCCCCAAAACGUUUUCGGGCGGUCCGAAUAUUUGCAACAGUUGGUAACCCUGCGUACGCAGAAAGCGCGCCAGAUGAUCGAACAACCAUGGCGAGCGGGAAGGAUAAAACUAGUUCGCUCACGGAAAAUCAGAGAAAAAUGUUGAUUUCUCUAAUCGCUGACCAUAGUCAUCGCAUAGAUUAAAAAAUGUACGACCCUGGGAUCAUCAGUCGCAAGCAGCAAGCACGGAAGAGCAUAACUGCCAGCUUUAAUGCCAUCUAUACAGCAACUCAGCUAAAUCGAGCUUGGGAGUACAUGCGCGAAACAAUGGGUUGAUGAAGGUCCUUCAUUCAGACAGCAGGACUUUUCUAUACCUCCUGCAAUUCCAAGCCCUCUAGGACCUCCUUUACUUCCUAGAAAACCCUCUCUGCCAACAGCUCCACCACUGACCCCAGUUCCACCAUCUGCCUGUGGUGAACCACCAUCUCCUUCAACCAUUUCAUCACCUUCUUCAACAACUCAUAGGAAGGGCAAAAAGAGGGACCAAAUCUCAGAGAGGGAGUAAUGCUACAAGGCUAUUAGCCUGAACAACAAAAAGCUCCAUGAUGCCCAACUCUUAUAGGCGAAUGAAAUUAGAAAGGAAUUCUCCAAGUCUUGUGAAGCAGUUCGUGCAUCUGCAGAAAGAGUUUCAAGUGACUUUAAAGGGUUGCAGAUGAAAUAAUUUCAUUUUUAGGUGAUGCAAAGCAAUAUUUGCAACUUCACGGCACAAAAUCUGGAAAAAACAUAAAUGCUGCAAAAGCAUGAAAUAAAACAACAAAAUCUA
rnacentral:lncRNA from 1 species